rnacentral:rRNA from 1 species
AUUGAACGCUGGCGGCAUGCCUUACACAUGCAAGUCGAACGGCAGCACGGGAGCAAUCCUGGUGGCGAGUGGCGAACGGGUGAGUAAUAUAUCGGAACGUGCCCAGUCGUGGGGGAUAACGUAGCGAAAGCUACGCUAAUACCGCAUACGAUCUAUGGAUGAAAGCGGGGGAUCGCAAGACCUCGCGCGAUUGGAGCGGCCGAUAUCAGAUUAGGUAGUUGGUGAGGUAAAGGCUCGCCAAGCCGACGAUCUGUAGCUGGUCUGAGAGGACGACCAGCCACACUGGGACUGAGACACGGCCCAGACUCCUACGGGAGGCAGCAGUGGGGAAUUUUGGACAAUGGGCGNAAGCCUGAUCCAGCAAUGCCGCGUGCAGGAUG